GGGGAUUUAGUUUAGUGGUAUAAGUGCCUGCCUGGCAAGCAUGAGGUCAUGAGUUUAAUCCCUG
rnacentral:tRNA from 1 species